GUGUUCACCUUGGCGGCACAGACACUAAAACUGGAACAAUACAGAGAAGAUUAGCAUGGCCCCUGCCCAAGGAUGACACGCAAACUCAUGAAGCAAUCCACAUUUUU